CGCAUACGUCCUGAGGGAGAAAGUGGGGGAUCUUCGGACCUCACGCUAUCAUAUGAGCCUAGGUCGGAUUAGCUAGUUGGUGGGGUAAAGGCCUACCAAGGCGACGAUCCGUAACUGGUCUGAGAGGAUGAUCAGUCACACUGGAACUGAGACACGGUCCAGACUCCUACGGGAGGCAGCAGUGGGGAAUAUUGGACAAUGGGCGAAAGCCUGAUCCAGCCAUGCCGCGUGUGUGAAGAAGGUCUUCGGAUUGUAAAGCACUUUUAGUUGGGAGGAAGGGCAGUAAGUUAAUACCUUGCUGUUUUGACGUUACCAACGGAAUAAGCACCGGCUAACUUCGUGCCAGCAGCCGCGGUAAUACGAAGGGUGCAAGCGUUGAUCGGAAUCACUGGGCGUAAAGCGCGCGUAGGUGGUUCAGCAAGUUGGGAUGUGAAAUCCCCGGGCUCAACCUGGGAACUGCAUCCCAAAACUACUGAGCUAGAGUACGGUUAGAGGGUGGUGGAAUUUCCUGUGUAGCGUUGUAAUGUGUAUAUAUAGGAAGGAACACCAGUGG
rnacentral:rRNA from 1 species